GCCGCCACCGCCUCAGGGAAGAGGAAGGAGGCCGCGGCUUCGCGUCCCGCCUCUCGCCUGGCUGGCCGUGGGGGGCCUGGACGCAGUGGCCUCCCGAAUCUCCCAGGACCCUAAUAUCGCCCGAGGAUGCUGGGAGGAACGCUGAGCCGACCUCUCCGUUAGGCUGAAGAUUGCACAAACCAUGCUAAUGGCCAGCAUGGAUGGAGGGAGCGUGUGAGAUGUGUGGGGCAGCGUGCUGCAUCUCAGCCAACUCCAGGAGCCAGUUGAUGUGAUGGACUACCUUAAUUGAUUUUUGAAUGUUGAGCCAGCCUUAUGCAUGUGGGAUAAACCCCUGUUGAUCAUGGCUGGCUGGAGUGCAGUGGUGCAAUCAUGGCUCACUGCAACCUCAAAUUCCUGGGCUCAAGGGAUCCUCCUGCCUCAGCCUCCCAAGUAGCUAGGACUACAGUUCCUGCUGGAAUCUUGCUGUUGCCCAUUCAAGUCUGGUGGUUCCUGUGUGUUGGGGUGGCCUUGCUUCUCCUGCUCUUAGCUCUGGAGGAGCCCUCGGCUGGUGCUGCAGUGAAUCUGUCAGAGUCGUCCUAACCAGAGUGCCCCCAUCCUGAAUAGAGGCUGGAUAAAGCCAAACCUGCUGGGUUAUAGUCCCAGGGGAUUGGGCAGUCCUGGUCACAAGAUAUUUAAGGUUGAGGGAAUAAGUUAAUGAUGCUAAGUAAAUAAAGACCCUGAAUUCUUUCCCGUGAGAGAUUCAAGAACUCACUCUUGGCAUCUGGGAUAAGACCCUUUUUCCGGUAACAAACCCCUGCCCUGGCCCUUUCUUCCUUCUGGAAAACUUAAAAAAAAAAUAGGCCUCAAAAAGACUGCAUUAAUCUGAGAAACUGCUGAAUAUGGCUACUAAGAGAAGCUGGGAUUUUCUGAUUUUUAAUGUCGGUUUCAAAGAGAGCAGGUAUACUUUGCAGGAGGGAACCAUGCUAGCUGCAGAAUCAUGGACGAGCUGGACCACAAGUUUUUACACAGUGUGCAUGCUUUUGUUCUCCUGUCAACUUCUGUUGUUUUCCUGUCAACUUCUGUUGUUUUCAUCAAAAGCCAUCAACCCGCCUCAGCCAGGGCAUCAUAAUGUACAUGCAACAGAGUGUUCCAAGAAACUUUCAGCUGAGACCCUAAGACCCUGGACAUGCAAUGCCAGAGUGAAGUGUGAGGACCACAGCUGUGCAGGACAUGCAGAAAGGAGGGGCAGAGAGCCAAUGAGAUGAUGUCCCACGACUCACCUGUGUCAGUGGAGACCGAAGGAGACUUGGAGGGUGCUUUUGGAGAGAACUGCUGAUGUUUUGUGAGCCUCACUCUCUCUGUGUGUGGAAAUGCUGGAGGAUGAAACCGUCUAAACUCUCCUGAAGUCCCGGGAAUGGAGUUUUAAUGGUAAUGUGUGAUGGGAUGUGUGUUCUCUUAUGGUAUGGGAGACACAGAGGACUCACAGAGGACUGGCCUCUGCCUCUUGACCAGGGAUCAGGAGAGAUGGGAACUGAGCUGGUCAGCUGCUCUUCAGAGCUGGUCGAGGAGAGAUUUCUGCUGUGCUGGGAGGGCCUAAAAACAUGCAUGGAUGGAGCCCAAGGACCAGGUGCAGAUCUUAUGCAAGAAUGAACCAGGGGGUGACUUAGGUCCACCAAAAGACUGCCCAGAGGGACAAAAGGCUAUCAGUGAAAAGAAUCCACAGAUGAACUGCCAGUUCCUCAGGGCUGAGGCAAGAUCUUAAUUUUGAGUAGGAGCAGAGUGUAUUACCUACAACAAGGAUACCACAGAUGAGAAAACCCUAGUUUUAAACCUGCUACAUCCAAAGAGAGCAAUGCAACUCUGGCAGUAGCAAAAAUGUUGUGCCUCUCCUUUCCUCACUCCUAAUUUCCCAUCCCAGAGAAGGGUCAGAAACCAUCUUCUGCAAGAUGGGAGGAAGGGUAGCAGCCAGACUGCAAAAAGGGAGAAGAAACCAGCUACCUCUUGCUGUUCUCAGUGGCAGACUCCCCACCUGCAACAGGUCAGGUCUGUUACUGGAGAGAAAAGACAGGACAUUUUUAAAUUCUAGGUAUAGAGCAAUAAAAGAAGAAUUCAAGCAAAGGGAUCAGGAAGAGGAUUGCUACUAAGAGGCAGAGAAACCAAUGAAGCCUUUUGCCAUCUCACACUGGAAAGACAAAAAGUCAUAGAGGCUUGAUUUUUAUAAGGAAAGAGAAGUGAGAAACUGACCUCGAUACUUUGUUGGACUUGCCUAAAGACAUUUGCUGAAUUCUCGGGCUGUGCUGGGAUGGAGAUUAGAGGCCAAAUAAAAACCUCUGGUAAGUAGUGC
rnacentral:lncRNA from 1 species